GAAAUGCGAUAAGUAGUGUGAAUUGCAGAAUUCAGUGAAUCAUCGAAUCUUUGAACGCACAUUGCGCCCCUUGGUAUUCCAUGGGGCAUGCCUGUUCGAGCGUCAUUUGUACCUUCAAGCUUUGCUUGGUGUUGGGUGUUUGUCUCGCCUCUGCGCGCAGACUCGCCUCAAAACAAUUGGCAGCCGGCGUUUUGAUUUCGGAGCGCAGUACAUCUCGCGCUUUGCACUCAUAACGACGACGUCCAAAAAGUACAUUUUUUACACUCUUGACCUCGGAUCAGGUAGGGAUACCCGCUGAACUUAAGC
rnacentral:misc_RNA from 1 species